GACGAACGCUGGCGGCGUGCCUAAUACAUGCAAGUCGAACGGAAAGGCCCCUUUGUGGGUCCUCGGGCGGCAGACGGGUAAGUAACACGUGAGUAACCUGCACUUGACUUCGGGAUAACGUCAGGAAACUGGAGCCAAUACUGGAACGGAAUCAUUUAUGCAUGGGGGGGGUUGGAAAGCUUCGGCCGGUUUGGCUGGACUUGAUACAUAUCAGCUUGUUGGUGGAGUAGUGGCUUACCAAAGCGUUGUCGGGUAGCCGGCCUGUGUAGGCGACCGGCGACAUUGGGACCGAGAGACGGCCGAGAUACCGACGGGAGGGAGCAGGGGGGAAUACUGCACAAUGGGCGGAAGCCGGAUGCUGCAACGCUGCGGGCGGGAUGACUGUGUUCGUAUUGUAGACCGAAUUUAGCAGUGGCGAUGCUUGUGGUGACGGUACCUGCAGAAGAAGCACCGGCUAACUACGUG
rnacentral:rRNA from 1 species